GCUGGCGACCGGCGCACGGGUGAGUAACACGUAUCCAACCUACCCUUUACUCGGGGAUAGCCUUUCGAAAGAAAGAUUAAUACCCGAUAGCAUAAUGAUUCCGCAUGGUUUCAUUAUUAAAGGAUUCCGGUAAAGGAUGGGGAUGCGUUCCAUUAGGUUGUUGGUGGGGUAACGGCCCACCAAGCCUUCGAUGGAUAGGGGUUCUGAGAGGAAGGUCCCCCACAUUGGAACUGAGACACGGUCCAAACUCCUACGGGAGGCAGCAUG
rnacentral:rRNA from 1 species